AUGUGUGAGGUGGUGCUAUGUAGCAGGAACCCCUCUUGCUUUGCAAAUAGUUUUUUGUUUGUUUUCCUUUUUGCCCAAUAGAGCCCUGCUCUACUGACCCUUCAAUGUGCCCGUGUGCCUAAAUAUUCCUGGUCGUGUGAAAAGAACCCAGGUAUUAGCUGAACUAAGGAGCACAAUUCUGCAACAUUUUGGCACCCAAACACGGGGCUUGAGAAAUGAAUGCAAUUGGAGAAACUGGUUGUUUUACCAGGCGUUGAUUGGAAAUGUGUGCUUCCCUUUAAGCAGUCAAGCUCAACUUGCAGAACUGAUGGGAACCCCUUGGGAAAACUGGCCUCAAAUGUUUGUCUACACAGUCCACAUACAGGGUUCUUAACCUGCGGUGAGUAAAGAAUGUCACUUUCCAACAGGCCCAGAUAUCAUAUGCUCUUGGGACCUCAAGAAGAGAGGAGUUUACCCAAUUCAUAGGUGUGUGAGGAUAAAAACCUAGGGCUGGGCUCAGCUUUAAAUGGUCUUAUCUGAGAUUCUUUGUGAAACAGAUUUUCAUGAAAGCCAAUCUAGAGGGCCUACGUAGAAAUAAUUGUUUUUGCUGCACUUUAUGCACAUAAUCAAGCCAAUUAUAAGACUAAAGUCUAUAUUGCAAGCAACACACUCCUAUUAUGAUUUGUUUUUAACAGAAAUGAGGACGAGACAGAGAGAAAUUAUGUUUCAAAACUUAUCAUCAUUAGUUUCUAGACUUAUUAUUUCUUUUUAAGUUUUUACCUACAUUUUAGACUGACCCUGCUUGUGCCUGUGAACCAACCAACAAUCUCUGGCUGCAGCUCAGAAAGGACAAAAGAGAAUGGGUAGGUAAUGGUGUCCCAUACCACAGAACACUUCCCUCAGAUGCAUCCUUCUAACUGGGAGGAGUUAAUUUCUCAAACCGUAGACUAAUUGGCUUAGGAUUAGGUUCAGGGGAAGGGAACACAGAAACAUGACAUGCCAGCAAAAGGGUAAAAGGUUUUUUUUCCCCGUUGGGCUUUUGGCCUCUCUCUCCCUGUGCAAACUGGUAAAAGGCGUCUGGAUUUUCUAGUUGUCCUUACCCACUGCUUGUUUCGUUUUGAUACAUAUUUUCUAAUAACCUGUUUGUCUCUUCUCACUUUUAGGCCAUCAAACUCCAGUCUGCACCUGGAGCCUUGGAUGAUGGCCUUUUUUACUGGGAACCCUGAAAUAGGCCUCUGAGGGAAAUCUGAUUGCCAUUUUCCCAAAACAGCUUCCCUGACAAUAGGAAGCAAUUAAGAUUGGUCUUCAUCCUUAUCUUUAUCCUUAUUCUAAUGGCAGUUAGAGGUACUUCUUUAGAGGGGGGAAUGAGACAGCCAAAUGCCUAGGCAGAUAAAAAGGUGUACCUGGAAAAUUUCCAACCCGUCACACAAGUGUUUACAUCAGAUGCUUUUGUGUAGAUGAGGGAAACUUCCCAGGGCUUGUCUGGGUAUGCCCACAGUGGACUGGAGCCCAAAAUGCACACUGGAGGAAGUGGAUGGAGCCACGUGGAUGUCAUGCCUUAUGCAGGGGAGGAGCCUGCUCUCUUCAGCUCCUGUGGUAAUGUGGGAAUCGAUCUGUGAGGAAACACUUUCUGAAAAUGUCAGAACUCUUGAAAACAUGGAUGAGGAAAAGCAUAAGUACUGCUUUAUGCUUUUCUUAUGAAUUUUAAAAGAUGUAAUUUAAAGGUACUUUAAAGUGAUAUUUGUGCCCUUGUAACUGAUUCAAAGUAGACUGCUAAGGACAAUAAGUAAUAAGAGUCUACAAAUAUCAGUAAAUUAUGAGAAAAAACGGUCUAAUGGUACUUAAAAUUGCAUUGUGAUUUAUUAAAUAACAUUGAACAGCUCCACCUGUAACAUUAAGAUUCCAUUUGAGCAUAUAGAAAAUAUAUUUAUCGCAACCUGAAGUGAUUUGGAAAGUAUGCUGGGAAGAAAAUAUAUUUACAAAUUAGUCUCAGAGGGUAGGUAUCCUGUAGCCAGAUGGAAUAAGAAGAGAGGGAAGGGAGAUUUUGUUCAAAGGGGGAGCAUAAGCUAAGGAAUAAAGCCACAAACAAUGAUUAAAUUAGGUAAAGUGCAAUUAGCUGAAUAUUGCAUAAGCAUACAUAUGGGAAGAAGUGGAAAAAGGAGUGACAAUAUGAAGCUAAAGGGUUUGAAGUGUUCAAGAUAAUACUAGGCUUCCUAGCCUAUUCCGAGACAUCUUGUUUUAGAGUGCAAUAGAUAAGAACUCUAAGGAUGAAAGUAGGAGACAUGCAUUCUAGUCUACGUUUUGGUUAAUGGACUGAAAGUGAAAGAUGGACUGAAAUUGGGGGAUGGAAUAAAAAUGUGAUAGAAUAGAAAAUAGAAAAAGCAAUUAGCCUAAUGUCAUUGAUACUUAGAGAAAAUAUGGAAAAUAGUAAAUUAGUGAUAUAUAUCUUUUCUAAUUCACCAGGGUGAGUGAACAAAGGAAAUCGGAUUUAAAAGUAUUCAUGACAUAGAUGCAAUAAGGUUUCUCAGUCAGACAUAGCAAAUUGAGGGAAGGGAAGAUUUAGAGGAUUGGAAAAUGUCUUGCUUGUAGACUAAUAGGAUAUCAAUAAGCCAUAUGAGCAAUAAUUUGAAAUAGUUUUUGUAAAGUAUCAUGAAGGUAAACCCUGUUUAGAACAAAUUAGAUUUGAAGUACUUGUGACAAAUGCAAUUGACAAUGCCUUUAUGCAGCUGGAAAAUUGUUGCUUAGCAGAAAAGCUUGUGCUGGACAAAUAGAUGUCCAAAUUGAAUAGAUGUUUUCUUAAGCUGAACUAAUUGAGACAAAUAUCCUUAUUAAAUCAAAAAAUUAAAAAUUGAAAUAACUUACCUAUGAUAGGGUAAAUAAUGUUAUUAAUAUACACAAGAAAUAUGUGAUGUAUAUGUGUAUGUACAUAUGUAUACAUAGUAAUAAUACAUAGUGCUAUUUUUAAAUGAUAUUUUACAUAGUGCUUUUUUAAAUGAUUUUUCAAUCAUCGUUGUUGGUCUGUGUUAUUUUAAUCAUCAAAGCUGAUUGAUUUCUGUUUUUGUGUUUUUUUUUGUUUUUUUUGAGGUGGAGUCUCACUCUGUCACCCAUGGUGGAGUACAGUAGUGCGGUCUUAGCUCACUACAAACUCCACUUCCCUGAUUCAAGUAAUUCUUGUGCCUCAGCCUCUCGAGUAGCUUGGAUUGCAGGCAUGCACCACCACGAGCUGCUAAAUUUUUUGUAUUUUUUGUAGAGGGGUUUUGCCAUGUUGGCCAAGCUGGUCUCAAACUCCUGACCUCAAGUGAUCCGCCCUGGCUUCCCAAGCCCAGCUGAUUCCUGUUUAAAUAAAAACUUACAAAGAUCUUCCCACAAGUACUUUAUCUUACAAUUUACUGAACAAUAGAGGCAGUGAAGAUGUUUUUCAGAAAGCAAUUGUGAUCCUGACAUUUUCUUCUUAUAAUCCUGUGCUUUCCUCAUUUUUUUAUAUUAAAAGUAAUAGUUCUUGUGAUGGCAACUAGGAUUUGUAACAACAUGUACCCUCAUUUCCUGCAUGACCUUUUUUAUGUCACUUCUUCACAUGCAAAGUAUACUCCCUCAGUGUCAUUACAUUAUUUGAUUUUUGCCCUUUCCCUCACCUUUCCAUGUGUUUAUUUGCCUAUGCCCAUCUCCUAGUCACAUUUUAUCUAGUUAACGCCAACUUGACUUUCAAUGCUGUUCAAGAUUUACCUCAAUCUCAAGUGUUUUCUCUUUAUAUUCCAUACACGCUUAGCUUGGCUGCCAAUCCUCUUGGCUGCCAAAGAAUCCCAAAUUAUCUCUUUCAAAAAUACAAGAAAUAAAGGAUGGAGGAUAGGAAGGAGGGUGGUCAGGAAAGAACAAAGAAAGGAGGGGAGAGGAAAAAAAGAGAGAAAGAAAGAGAAUUAAAGUUAAGGAGGAAGAAUUUCACACUGAAUUAAAAUUGAUAAUAUUCAGGAAUGAUUUUAUAGUAGGCAUACAUUGAUAAAUAUUAGUUAAAUUAAUGAAUUAUUCCAAAAGAUCAUGAUUUGUAAAAAUUACCCUGAAGCACUUUAGGAAUAUUACAUUGAAAUAGGUAUGCAAUUUCUAAAGAAACUGGACUGCAAAAAUAGCCAUUGUGUGUACCUGUGGACCAGAAUAUUAUAUUUUGCUUAAGUUUGAAGUGUUAAAGUGCCCAACGUGCUCUUAUUUUAACCUAGCAAAUUUUCAGCAGAACUUAAGCUCAUAUAGUAUUUGAUUUUUUCAUUUCUCACAACUGUUGGAAUUCUGUUUUAUUGAAAAUUAUACAAUAAAAUGUU
ensembl:lncRNA PURPL p53 upregulated regulator of p53 levels